rnacentral:lncRNA from 1 species
UUCGAAGAUGGCUAUGCGCUUGGGAAUGACGCAACUAAGAUAUUCGUCAUCCUUAGGGUGAGAGUGGGAAGACUUUGAUUUUGGAUCAGAUACGCCUCCCAUGGAUGACGUCGGCGGUGGUAGAGGAGUGGCAAAGGGAAGAGGAAGAUUCAAGCAGAAAUUUAUGCUAUUUUUUAGGCAUCCAAACUCCUUCCCUGACAACUGCAGCUACCUUAAGAAGCAUCAAACUUUAAGGCUAGUCAAACCCUGGCU